ACUCAUUCUCUGGCUGUCAGGAGCCUUUGUUCCAGCUGAGACCACUGCAGAUCCCAGUCACCACACCCUAUGGAAAAGGUCACUUCAGGAGUGCAGGACUUGCUGGAGCAAACAGGAGCCUUGAGCUUUGCUCUUCCUUUUCCAUUAUUUACCUGGGGUUUCAGCCUGGAGCAGACAGCCUGUGCACUUCUUAUCAACAUCAGCACUGGGGAAGGUGACUGUCAGCUCAUACUGUGCUCACCCAAAGGUCCCUCUGGUGCUCCAGCUCUAGGCAGAAAAUCCAUCAGUGCUCUCAGUCAACUAAAGGACUUGUGUGUGAAUGCUGCAUUAGCUCUGGACCUCUGAAACAGUGUUUAAGGGCCAAGGUCAGCAGGGGGUUCUGUGAUUGUUGAGAGGCUUUGUUAAAAGUGAGCUCCUGGAUAGUUUAUUUAUCAAGACCUGGAACCUCAGUCACAGUAUGAACAUGGAAAUGGGAGAAAUAGGAAAUUUGAGCUGGUGGUUUGGCUGAUAUCCUAUAAUUCUACUUUAUUUCCCCCUGAAUGUUGGGGAAAAUGAUGGGGUAGGUGAAAAGCUUUGUUUUCUGCAAAAUGGAGAAAAUUCCUUGUUAUGCCAGAUUAUCAAAGCCAGUUUUGGGUCUUUCCAAUUGUACUUCUACUUCUCCUUACCAUCUUCUAGUGAACUGAAAUCAAACCUGAGUAAAUCCUCCAGAGAAAUUUACCCUGUUUAUACUGACUUACCCUAUAGAGAAAUUCCAUCUGGACUCAAGGUGCUGCUCUCCAGCCCUGCAAAGCUGGUCCUGGGAGAGACAAACUCUGUCUCUGCAGCCAACUCAUUCUCCUACCUUGUCUUUGCCUUUUUCCUAUUACUAUACCAUAAAUACUACAGCCUCCUGGACACUGCUAUUUGUACUAAAAAAAAAACCAACAACCAAACAGAACACUAACAGAAAGGCAGGCAAGUGUCUGGCAGGGGUGUCUGUAACUUCUCUCUUCAUUAUUACUAAUCUAAGCAAUUUAAAUGUGAAUAAACCAGCUCAAAGUGGAAGGAAGCACUGGAUUCAGCAUGAUGUGGUUAGAAAAGAGUAGGUGUUGAUAUGCCCAGAGGUCAUCUGGGGCUUGUAACAUCCCUUGUCAGGGCCCAUGGCAGCCAAACUGGAAUUUUCUUACUCUUCAGGAGCACUGGGCUAUUUGCCAGCAGCCUCCACAUCUCACUCCACUUUCAGGAUCAUUAUCAGUGAGGCUGCUGAAUUGCCAUCUCUGCUGCAGGGACUGGAAGAUGUCCCCAGAAAUCUGGGCACUGGUGACACUGAGGGGAUGAAGUUGUUGGUAAUUGGUGGAUUUUCUACAAGAGGGCUGCACCAGUGGAGACUGGGCCUGCUUCUGCUGCUCAGCAGCACAGCCACAGUGUCAAUGUCCCAAGAGUGUUGAUGCCUUCAGUGGCUUUUCCUGUUGCCCUGAGUCUAGCAUGCCUCCUCUCUCUCUCCCAGAAAAGGGAUGCUGAAGUGAUAAUAGUUGUUGGCUGGCUCAGCUGGAAGUUUACAGUAUUUAAAUUACAGAUCCAGGUCUGAGUUUCACACUCAGAGCAGUGAGGUGGGAUCAGCUAGCAAAGGAGGAGGUAAUUAAAGGGCCAUUACAGCAAGCUGGUCCCAAGGGAGCCGUAAUGGUCCUGGUGAAGCUGCUGCAAGCACACUCAAGUCACAUCCUCGGCUGCCUUGCUGAACUCAGGGGCUGGGAACCGUGUUCUUAUGGGUUGGUUUGAACUGAAAUGUGCACAGCUGUGCUCAUUCAAAAAGGAAUUCACAAAGCUCUAAAGAGGGAAUUAAACCUUGCUGAGGCCCGCCAAGAAAAUGUUGAGUUUUUUGUUUUGACUGGAAACGUGUAAAUCACCUGGAUACCUUACUCAGACUUUCUUAAAAACUGCUUUCAGAAGCAUUCAUAGAGAGAGAGUCCACUGUCACUGUCUUCAUACAAUCCCAGAUGGCAUGAUACAAAUGUUACUCUUUUCUAGGAUCUGUUUUGUACAGCCUACUUUCCAUCUUGAUUUUCUUCCCUUUUGGCACUGCUGAUGAAUAUGUUUCAUUUUCCCAUGGCUUCUACUCCUCAGUGCUGCACCGAGUUGGCUGCCAGCUACGCCAGCUCUCUGUGGUGUUUGGAAUCCCCCUCCUUGUCCAGGUCAGCCUGAGACUUCACUUUUGCUUAAUUAAAUCCCAACCCAGAAGAACACUGGAAGAAUUUACACAUGGUAGUGGCAACAUUUUCAGACAGUCUUGGAUCUGGGCUUCCACACACCACAAACUGAUGGAUUAAUUGCAGACAGAAGUACAUUCUUCAGCUGCUGGAGGUCCGUGAGUGGUGCUAAGAAAAAGGCUCACUCAUUGACCCAGUUUGCAGUUUUCCACUCCAUCACCUAAUAAAGAGUUUGAGACAAGCAGGCCAAGUGUAAACGCUCCUUUGUGGCCACAUGUCACAGCACAGCAGGACAUUGCAAUGGUGUACACACUUCCUGUGCAAAAAGCACUCACCCACUACAAGGCUUUGAGCAAACACCAACAAAACACUUUGAUAACGCAGGAUUGCUCCUGCUGCAGGGACAGAGAGAGGAGCUGCUGUGAGCCAUGGUCACAGCAUCGCUUCUGCCUUCACUGGGGGCAGGUGAGGAGCUGCAGAGGGACUGGAACAGCCAGAGCCCAGCCCUGAUUAGCAGCUGAAGGGGCUCUUGAAAGCCCCCACUUUAGGGCCCUGUAGUUUUCUUUCUUGUAGAAGUGUAAAGAUUAUAACAGCACAAUAUAAAAAUAUAUAAUUAGGAUGUUUACACUAGACCUGUUCAGCAUCAAUAGCUGGGGAAGUUGAAGAGAUGAGGGUGUGAGGUGGGAGCAGGGUGCUGCCAGGGAGCCUGCAGGCAGUGGGUGUUUCCCUGCCCAGGCAUCCCCUCCCAGCGCCCAUGAGGACUCUUGCCAGUUUUGGCCAAAAUUAGAUUGGAUUCUUUCUUCCACUUCUUCCAUCUGGCUGUUCUAAAGUUUUUGAAGUGUUUAAAAAAAUUAUUGCUAAAAUUAUUUCUGUUUAACUGAGUGUAACCAAAUAACUUAUAACCAUUAUAACUUUGGGCUGAUUUCUAAUUAGCAGUUCCAAGCAGGAGACCAAUUUAACUGUGUCAUCCCCACCAGCCUAGGAGCACAGGAGGGAAUGCCCUGCUGUGUCUCAGCUAACAGGUCAGCCCAACCUGCUUUGACUCACCCAUUCAGGAAAUUGAGUUGAAUACCAGGUGUGCAAAGUGGAUCUGAUAUGAAGGAUUAUUUGUUUUGCUGUAGUAUUUUGUGGUAAGAUUAUCUCGGGGAAGAGAAAGUGAAUGUUCCACACCAAAAAAAAGAGGACAGCUUUGUGUUUCCAGUUAGUUUAAACCAUUACACAUCCCUACUGACCUGUCUCAUCUUUUCUACAGAUAAUUAUUUUGCAGCACCUGAGGGUAAGUCCUGUUAUCAGCAAUUUUUACAUACUGUCAUGGGUAGCUCUGUCUCCCUGCUGUGACCAUCUCUUGUCCCUAGUUUUUAUGGAGGGUUCUUGCAGAUAAAUCCUGAUCAGGGCAUGCACUUAAAAAAAAAUUUUUAAAAAUCACCAUUUUAAGCCCUUUGCCAUUUUCUUCCCUUUCAGAAGCAGCUGUCCACAGAUAGGAACCCACCCAAAUAAAUCCCUGGUAGAUUGCCUUUGAAUUUGAGCUCUCUUCCUUUCUAAAAGCAAGCUUUACCUUGUGCAUGUGUUACAUCUUCCAAGCUAAUGAACUUAAACCCCCAAUUCUGUUUGCCAGUGGCAGGGGAAGAUCAGACUAGGCAGUUGAGGGGAAUGGGAAAUGCAGACCUGGAGGAAAGCAGGCAAACAAGUACCUGACAAUUGCAGCAGUGAUAAAUAAGGCAGAAGAGUAGGAAAGAGCCAUAAAACAGGAGGAGAGGGGAUAAGAGAGGGAGACAUUCCUUUCCUGAGUGGAAAGAGUCUUCACUGUGUUACUAUUUCUGACAGGGGGCAGGGGAUGGGGAGGACAAAUCCUCCUGUGUCAAGAGCAAGGGGUAAAUGCAGCAUGUCUUCUUUACAAAAUGGAUGUUUUAUAAAGACUAAGAAGAUAAAAUGCCUGGUAUGCUUGAGGGGCAGGGUAAUUCUAGAGAAUACAAGAGGUUUUUUUCCUGCUUGUUUUCCCAUGAAGCCCAGAGUUAUUUAGCUGAGCUUUUAAUACACAACUGGGAAUUUUGCUGAAUGAUUCUCCAGUACAACUUUUAUGCAAUUUUUUUCUCCUGUUUCUUUCCCCCCCCCUCCCCUUUUUGUUUUCUUUUGUUUGAACUACCCAUAGGCAGUGGUUCAACAGCAGGCUUUUAAAGAAUGGGUUGUUGGUGUGGGUUGGGGUUGAUCUGGUCAAAGAUGUGGGUUUUUUGUUUUUUUUCCUGGCCUGGUUACCGGGCCAGAGGACAGAGCAGCAGUAAGAGCAUGAAGCAGUAGCUGAUUCCAGGGCUCUUAGGGCUCCGGGUGGUGUUAGGAUUGCCUUUUUUUUUUUUUUUUUCCCAUGAGAAAAUGUAAUGCAAGUUAAGCAAAAUUUGAAAACACUCUUUUUAUUGUUUUAUCCAAAACCUGAGGCAAUUAGGAAAAGAUCAGAGAUUGUCAGGCAUUUAAACCCUCCAGCUCUCACAGCAUGGAGUGUGACAAGGCCAAACUGAAAGCCAACUUCUCUUCCCUAAGAUCAGGUAAGAACCACAGGGGUCUCCUUAGAGGAGCUGCAGCAGCUGUAGACCUUGGACUGGAUGAAAAGGAAACAUCAGAAAGCAGAUCCAAGGAAGCCUUGAGUCCAAAACUUUUAGUUGUUUUUGGUUCACCCCCUCAGCUAAGAGAUGAUAGUAAUUGCUUUUCACUUCCCUCUCUCAGCUGCUGCAGUUACAGCACUGAUACAUCUGCAGAAGGUGCAAUAUUGCAUCUUUGGGGAUUUUGGGGCACUAACAGCUUAUGUCUGCACCCCUAGACUUGCAGAGGGAACCAGCUGCAAGAGGCUGCCAUGUGCUGGAAAUGCCAGCACUGCUCCUGCUCUCCCGUGCCUCCUGCACUGCUCCUGCUGCCCCCACUGCCCGGAGUGCACUCGCUGCAGAAAGGCAACUCAAAGAUCUCUUCUCUAGGAGAAGAAAGUAUCUGGGCCAUAAAUGCCACAAGCCCUCCUCAGUGACACUCUGUGUGUUAGGAGGCAUCAUCUGGCACUCAGAUAUUUUUCAGGAAUCGCUUCUACAGCACUUGCCAGCACCUUGAGUCAACUCCAACGCUGUCUAUUUGUUGUUGAAAGCUACAGGAGAUGUAAUUUCUGGCAUUCUUCAGCUCUUCCCUGCAGAUCCCACAGCUUCUCCCAUUGUAUUAAUGGGAAGGCUGAACCCACAGGGCUUGCUUCUCUUAACCCAUCAAUACAAUAGGCAUUUUAUCACCUAAAGGAUUGAGAGUCUCCUCGGCCUGAGUCCAUCUGUUCUCCCAGUUGAAAAACAGUGUAUGAAGAUAACUUUGAGGUAGUUCUUGCCCAUAAAAAAUUGAUUGGUCCUCCUUGAGUAAGCAAGAGAUCCUCCAAGGUUUGAAGUAUAUUUAAAGGUAUAUUUAAAUUGAGGAUUUCAUUAGACUGAGGGUUUAAUGUGGAGAGUAGCUGCACUAACCUUCCCAGAGAAAGCUUCCUCAUGUAAAUUUUCACAGCAUUUUGUCAAAGUGUAUAAAUUUUUCCAGUCAAGGUUUUUUUGUCUUUUUGUAGUACCAAAAUAUCCAAAAAGGGUGAUUAAUUUUGACAAAAUGCAAGUGUUAUUUGCUGGAAUAUUAUGGGUCUGUUUUAGUAUUACAGUCAGAAAGAUAUUCUCACUCUUGCUCUGGUGCUGUGUCCCCUUAGUUUUAAUUGUUGAACAUCCUUAGGAAAAAAGUUUAAUAAAGCUGAAACUCUGUUAAAGGAACACAACUACUCUUGUAUCUAACAACGUAAACCAACACCAGGUUGGUCAAAACUUUCUUUUUUCUCUUGCAACAGAGAGACAACAAAUGGCCAAGCUGAUACUUGCUGCUGAAUUUCUUCAGGUUAAACUCAGCUACCAGAUGUUGCUGGAAUCAAGAUCAUAAUGAAAAAAGAACAUUUACAAGGGGCACUCCAUUGCCACCCUGGCAGCGCUGAGAGUCAUGAAGAUCCCUGUCCUGGCACAAGGUGACCUCCCAAAGAUGCCACCUGCAAAUCUCCAGGUGAACUCCAAGGACUCUCAGGCGAGCUGGACGUGCGGCAGUCAGAGCAGAAAACAAUUACAGGACUGCUCAGGAGUGCAGCACAUGGACACAGAGGGUCCUCCUGCUUGAAGAAUGAUGUUACUGCUAAACUGCAAACAUCUCAAGACAAAGAUGCAUCAAAUUCUACCAUAACCUUAAUGUAAUUACCCCACUGUGGAAUUCUAAAAGAAUUAGAAGAAUUCACCACUAAAUUUGUACAGGAAGCUAUUAUUAAUUUGAGGUCAACAAACCAAUACUGGUUCACAUAAUAUUUUAUUCACAAGUAGAAAAAGUAUUACAAAACAAUUUAUACAAGGUUUUAAUUUACAUUUGUUAAAGGAGUAUUUAAAACAGCACUGUAAGUCCCUAGACAUGACAUGUGGGCAGUCUAAAUGCAGUGAUAGUGAACGUUUUCUAUUGGCAUGUACAACAUUGCUUGCCACAGGCAAUAUACAAAAGACCAAUUUGGUUAAAUUAAGGAAAAAAGUAUAUACAAAAUAUACACAUAGAGCUAAAAAACACUCUCUUAAUUUUUUCCUCCCAAUUUGCUCUCAAGCUUUCACUCAUAAAAAAAAAAAAAGUCUCUUUUUCUAGGGUUGCUGGAUAAAAACAAUUAUACAAAGUUUAAAUUCCAAUGGGAAAACACACUGUGGCAGAUGCUGGCAAAAUUCUUGAACAUUGCUUUUUCAAGAACUGUUAUUAGUGAGAAGUUAAAUCUCUGUAUGUUCUGGAAAUAUUUUGCCAUAUACUGAAAUGCACAUUGGAUUUUUUUUCCUAUUUACAAAGUAUAUACAAAGAAGCACACAUCUCUUCAUGCACAUGUAGUGAAAAUAAUGUUUUGUAACUUCUUAAAUGUAUGAAAGUAUACAAAGAAAUUAUUCAAAACUACUCAUAUUUAAAUAUAUAUGUGAAAGUAUUUAUCUGAGUAAUUGUACUGUAUAACUGCUUAUUAUUCCAUCAGUGACCAAAAGGUGGUAUCUACUACUUAAAACACCAAACCCAACAACAGCCAGAAAAUCUCUUGGAUAACUUGUUCACAUUGGCUUGAAUUUGGGAAGUGUUAUUCAUGGCUUUUGCACAAAGGAAUAAUCUCACUGGGGAAGAGCUGGAGCACCUCUCUGCCAUGGCUGCCUGUACUGUUUUUAUCUGUUUUUGUGCAGGUCCAACUUUCUUCUGUGUGCUUCAAAGCAAAAGUCUUUUUCCAUAAUGGAUUCUGAAUACUGUCUCAACAUUUCCAUUGCCACACAAACCAUGUGUGGAAAGAUGAGUAAUAUUUAUUGCCAAUUUGUUGGCAUCUGUUUUGCUGAUUGCUUUGCUUUAGUCAAGGCACAUUGGGUACUUUAAGGAAUAAUUGCUAGAGCUCAUCACAGACAAGUGUGAGCCUGUUGAGUGUCAUGAAUCAGUGAAGGUUACUGGCAUUAUCCACAGAAGCAAAAACUAUUUUAGGGAUGAAAAUGGCUGAGAAAAAAGUGAUAUUAAGGGAUGUGAUAAAGCAAGCCACUUCUUCUGUUUUGUGUGCAAAAUUUGACUUGACUCAGUACUACAGUGAGAAGGACAGAGGGUCUUGAAUGAAAGGGAUUCCUAAAUGGAUGAAUCAGCUCACCACAGAGCUUGACCCUUAAAAAUAAUGCACUAAUAAAAAAAUCUUGGUAACAGUCUCACUGUAUAAACACUUUCAUGGCACACCUGCUAUAGUCUGACAUUCUGAUUUGACAGUUGAUUACAAUUAUUUCAACAUUCAAAAUUAUACGCUAUAACAAGAAGUGCUGUAUUCCAAUACUGAGACUACUAAUUAAACACAAUGUCCUUAUCUAUAUGUCUGACCUUCAUUAAACUAAAUCUAACUUAAAGCUAAUCUCCUGCUACACUUAACAGAGCAAUGCCACCUCCCAAAAAUGUAAUAAUUGGAUGGAGGGGACUUCAACCACACACACUGUAACAUGCUAAUUCUCUAACUCCCCAAACUAGCUUAUUGACUAUAAUGUAAUACAUAAUAAAAGCUUCAGUUUAUUGAUAGGUGAUCCUUUUAUAAACAGAAAUGGAUUUUUUUUAAUAAAUUUUACAUCCUUCAAUAGCAGGAAUACUAUUUAAAAUUAGAACCAGCAAAAAAAAAAAUCCUAAUGUAUGCACAAAUCUGCAGGCAGAGUAACUGGCACCGUGUUGUCCCACAUCUUCUGACACCUGUAGCCAUAUUUGAGACCCCCCCCCCCCCAAAUACUCUGAAGUAUUUCUAUUUCUUGCUGUAUUUACAUAAACUAUUAAGCUCACUCCAUUAGACCUUUUGAGACUCUGAGGAAAUAGAAAUAGAGACUGGAAAGGUCAUAAAUCCACUUUCAGGGUCCUCAUAGGAUGCUCCUUGAAGUUUAACUUCACAGCUGUUCCAGCUCAGACACAACUGCUCAGAAGGUGUGAAAUGAUGCCAUUUUUUUCCAGCUGGAUUGGAUACCAUGCAACACUGAAGACCAAAGUAUUUUUGAUGAGAAUCAGCAGGGGAGUGUAAGGGAAGCAUUCAGCUUUAGUGAUGGGAGAUACAGCUCCAGUCCCUACAAAAAAGUGAAAGAAGAGUGGUUACAUAAAUUCAUAAGAAACCCGUAUGCACUUCUGUAUUUGACUAAACACUAAAAGAGUAGAGGUAUACUUACUGCUUGCUGUAAAAUUCACCUAAACCUGAAGAUUAAAUCUGUAUUAAAACCCACAUAAAAAAGCUUAGACCAGUGUGUACAUAUAUAAAAUAUGGUAUAUUCUGAUUUUGUGUAAUUCUUUUGAAAUAUAAUAAUAAAACAUUGACCUGUGAAAGACUGUAAUACAUCCUCAGGCAGUACAAAGACCAUGCUUGCCUCAAAAUAUUUCAAAAAGACAUGAAAGAUGAAGACCAGAUGGGAAAAAAUGCUAUAGACUGAGAUGAACUUAUUGUCUUGAAAUUGUACAGUGGGCCAGUGUUCAUCCUGAAGAUGCAUCUCAAGUAAGCCUAGUCCUGGUCCUGUCCCGUGAACACUACUGAAAUUUCUCUGCCAAAAAUGCACAUAUAAUGAUGCACUGUAGAGUCUGAAUGGGGAGAAAUUGUACAAAAUGAAUCAGUAGGGUCUAUUACAAGAAAAAAAAUGAAGGAAAAAAGUAACCCUCCUGAAGACCUUGAUUAGUCAAAAUUAUACACAAAUCUCAGUAGUAAUAGAGGACAGCAGAAAACUAUCAAAGCAUACAGGAUUUUGAGAUGCUAGAAAAGCUGUCUCACAGAAAUCAAGAGUCUGUCAUACACACAGAAAUCAAUAAGAAAAUUUACAGUUCAUAUAAUGUAACAAGUAUAGUGCAAUAAAAGCUAAUUUUUGUAGUCAUA